rnacentral:rRNA from 1 species
GACUUCUGGUCUAAUGCGCCUGGCCCGCGGGUCGUAAGACAUGUGAGUGCCGGUGCGCGUUUACCAUCCUUCUAGAAAACGAGUCUUCCCUUUACUGGGAUCUAGAUCAUUUACUUUGAAAAAAUUAGAGUGUUUAAAGCAGGCUAUUGCUAUGAAUACAUUAGCAUGGAAUAAUAAUCUAGGACUUCGGUUCUAUUUUGUUGGUUUCUCUAGCUGAAGUAAUGAUUGAUAGGAAGAGUUGGGGUGCUAGUAUUGGCCGGUCAGAGGUGAAAUCUUGGAUUCGGUUAAGACUAACUUAUGCGAAAGCAUU